rnacentral:rRNA from 1 species
GAGCACUGUAGAGAGUUUGAUCMUGGCUCAGGAUGAACGCUGGCGGAGUGCCUAACACAUGCAAGUCGAGCGGCAGCGCAGAGUAGUUUACUACUYGGGCGGCGAGCGGCGGACGGCUGAGUAACGCGUGGGAACGUGCCCCAAAGUGAGGAAUAACUGCCCGAAAGGGUAGCUAAUGCCGCAUAUGAUCUUCGGAUUAAAGGAUUUAUCCGCUUUGGGAGCGGCCCGCGUCAGAUUAGGUAGUUGGUGAGGUAAAGGCUCACCAAGCCGACGAUCUGUAGCUGGUCUGAGAGGAUGACCAGCCAGACUGGAACUGAGACACGGUCCAGACUCCUACGGGAGGCAGCAGUGAGGAAUCUUCCACAAUGGACGAAAGUCUGAUGGAGCAACUCCGCGUGCAGGAUGAAGGCCCUCGGGUCGUAAACUGCUUUUAUGAGUGAAGAAUAUGACGGUAACUCAUGAAUAAGGGUCGGCUAACUACGUGCCAGCAGCCGCGGUAAUA